GACGAACGCUGGCGGCGUGCUUAACACAUGCCAGUCGAACGGAAAGGCCCUGCUUGCAGGGUACUCGAGUGGCGAACGGGUGAGUAACACGUGGGUGCUCUGCCCUGCACUUCGGGAUAAGCCUGGGAAACUGGGUCUAAUACCGGAUAGGAGCCAUUUUUAAUGUGAUGGUUGGAAAGUUUUUUCGGUGUAGGAUGAGCUCGCGGCCUAUCAGCUUGUUGGUGGGGUAAUGGCCUACCAAGGCGGCGACGGGUAGCCGGCCUGAGAGGGUGGACGGCCACCUUGGGACUGAGAUGCGGCCCAGACUCCUACGGGAGGCAGCAGUGGGGAAUAUUGCACAAUGGGCGCAAGCCUGAUGCAGCGACGCCGCGUGGGGGAUGACGGCCUUGGGGUUGUAGACUCCUAUCGCUAGGGACGAAGCUUUUUGUGACGGUACCUAGAGAAGAAGCACCGGCUAACUACGUG
rnacentral:rRNA from 1 species